rnacentral:lncRNA from 1 species
CCACGUUCCCAUUUCUCACAUUUGUUAAAUCCAUCAACUAGCAAAAAAAGAAAGAAAAAAUAAGAAAGAUUUUAGCCCAAACAUGUUAACCUGAAGACUGAACAGAUUCAUGUAUGCAUUAUGCUUGACUUUUGGAACUCAUUAUGACCAAAACAGACCAGGAAACAACAAAACUGGAGAUAAAUAACAAUUCGGAGAUCUAAUAAAUCAAGAGGAUUCCUUAUGAAAUAAUUUAUAUAUCAUGGCACUGAACGACAAGGCCAAAAAAUCACAUUACCCAAAAAGCGAUGAUUGAGACAGACCUGAGCAUUGGAAAAGGCUGUCCACCUGGCCAAAAUGAAUAAUGCAGUUGGACGGUGCAAAGAAGUAAGAAAAGGCCACUUAAAAGAGCACUACAAUUUUGAUCUCACCUGGCAACAUUUUUUAUGAAUUUGGUUUUAAUGUAAAGAGAAAAAGUUCUUAAAGGCAUUUGAUAGGUGCCCAUUUCAAAAUAAACAUGCAUACAAAAAGCCAUUGCAUAUUACAGCAAAUUUUAGAGCCUACGGUGGUGAGCCAUGAAUUUGGUUCUAACAAGGC